rnacentral:lncRNA from 1 species
UUAGGUAACCUAAGUGCAGAGUUGAGGAAAUGGUCGUAAUUGGGUAAAAGUAAGAGAAAAGUUAUCUUUUCAAAUCUAAAAUGUCUACACUAUCUCCAUAGCCAAUUUUGCCAGGUCACUGGGCAGCCUCGGAUUCACCUGAAGGCAAGUCAACGUGGAAGAGGGAUGUCUUGCCAUUUGUUCUCAUACCUAUGGCACAAACAAGGGAUUGGAAGAGGCUUUCUUCUGCUGCUCUGG